ensembl:lncRNA
CUGAGGCACAGAGGUUACAUAAUUUGAUCGACAUUACUCAACUAGUGAAUGGCAAGUCCAGUUUGAAUGGCAAUCUAGAUUGAGAGACACUGCUUAUCACCCCUGUUUUGCUUUUUGGUUCAGCACACACAGACUAGCCAAACCAAGCUUGUGGAAGAUUCUUUCCCCGCCUCUUUGAUAGCUGCAGGACUGAUUCCGUAUGCUUCAAGCCAGAGGCAUUGAAUCAUCUUGGGGCAUCACAAAAAGGAGGUCCAGUUUACUCAGAGUGAUGGUCACCUCACCGGAGAUAAGUACUGCAAGAGACAUUGCCCUCCAGGACAUUCCUUGGUGAAGUAAUUUGGGUUACCUUGGAUAUGAAAAGCAGCUUGAUCAAAGCACAUUGCACUGUGAAGCCCAGAUCCAACAAAGAAAUACAGAGUCCUGGGAUGGUCUCUAUAGCAAAUUAAACUUUGAAGAUCCUUUAUGAAAUGUUCACAGUCUCCAGUCAGCUAUAUGGUUUUGGCAUAGAUUAAUACAAAGAGAUUGGAAAAAUGAAAACUAAGGAUAUUCUUUAAGAAACACUACAUUUUAUAGUUAAAAUAUUUUAG